AACGCAUAUUGCACUCGCUGGCCCGUGCGCCGGCGAGUAUGCCUGACUGAGUAUAGGCAACACACAUACCUCGUGGCGAUGUGGCCGCCCCCAAUGUAAGGGGGGCAGCGCAGCGCAUACCACGGAUCAUGGUCCAUGCGGGGGUGAGCACAGUUGUACGAUUGUGUGCACCGCCGCUGCGACUAGAAAGCAUGGCGUUUUAGCCGCCGGCCACCGCACGACUCGCUCGUGUCGGCCUGUGCAAAGCCGCGAACCGAUGGAUAGCCAGCUCCGUAACACGGUCCCGCACGCACAGUGCCGCCGAGUCGCGCGCGCGUGCCGCCGGCAGCGCCCACUCCAUACUCACUUAUCUCAGGUCAGGCAAGACUACCCGCUGAACUUAA
rnacentral:misc_RNA from 1 species